ACGAAGUUAAAAAAAAAAAAAAAAAAAUCAAAUACAGAAGUACCAGAAUCAAUAAAGAACGUUUAUCGAAAUAGUAACAAACCUAUAUACUAUGACUCAUCAACAUUAUCAAGUACAAACGAUUCAGAUGUUUAUAAUGACAAUCUUUCGGAUGAUUAUGAAAUUAUCCAAUUAUUAGAAAACACAAAGAAAGAUAAAAAAACAUUAUUAGGAGGAAUAAAAAAGCAUAUAAAGUGUUUAACUAAACAUGUAAGUGAAUAUGUACCUAAUUAUUAUAUUUUAAAUAAUUGUGAAAAAACAAAAAUGUCGAAAAUACUUUCUAACAUUUUUUUAGAUGAUAAAAAUGAACAAAUAGCAACCAAUAAUGAUUAUUUAUUUUUGCAACAGUUACAAUAUGGUACAAAUGAUCUAAAUAAUUGUUAUUUUAAUUAUCUAAAAAAAUAUUGUUUAUAUAUUUAUCAAAAUCAUUUAUUUAAAUGUAAUAAAAAUAAUAAAAUUAUGUUACAAAACUUGGAUUUGUUGAAUAUACAAAACACGAAUAUUAAUUUUACUUAUAUUUUUAAUAAAUAUGUACAAGCAUAUAAUAAUGAAAGUAAUAAUAGUGACAAAUCAAAUUCAUUUAUUUAUAAAAAAAAUAAAUUAUUAAUAUUUAACAUAAAUAAAAAAACAUUUAUUGAUUUUGAAAUAUAUCCCCAAAAUAUACAUUUAUAUAAUAUUGCUUAUAUUUCGAAUGAAAAUAAAUAUAUAGACACUUUGUUGGAUAUUCAAGUAUCCAUUUUGAAAAAUACAGUUUAUUGGUUACUAUGUGAUAAAAGAAAAAAUAAAACUACCACAGAAAAUGCAAACGAUGUAGUAACACUUGUCGCAAACAAAAAAAAAGGUAGUCGAAAAAAUAUAAACCACAAACAUAAACAAACUAAAACAACGAACAAUAAUAACAUAUCCCAAAUAAACAAAAAAAAAAUUCAAAUGGAAAGAAAUGUAAAGUCCAUGCAAAAAAGAGAAGGGAACAUAGAAACAAGUACAAGAUACGCAAAAAAAAGUAAAACAAAAUCAAGACAAUUUAUAAAAAAGAUAACAAUUAAAAAUUAUAACAGUAACAGUCGUAGUAGUAAUUAUAAUAAUAAUAACGAAAACUGUACUAAAAUAUAUAAAAAUAACUUUUUCGCUGUUAUACAAAUACUGCAUCAAGUUUUUUACUUCAAAGACAUUUUAAGCUGUUAUGAUGAAUUUGGUAACUACACAGAUGAUGUACUAAACAAAUCAAAUAAAAAAAAGAAAUCAAUUGUUAUUAAAAAAAUUAUUCAAAAAAUGAUAUUUAUAUUUUUAUUAAUUAAAAAAAAAAAAAAAAAAAAAAAAAAAAAAAAAAAAAAAAACUUAAACAUUUUUGCAGUAAUUGCAUUUUAACAACUUUUGAAAUUUUUGUGUUUUUUUUUACUUUCUCCAUUUAUUUCACCAUUCAAUAUAUAAUCAUAAGUUUUGCAUUUCUCUAUUAUUUUAUGUAUGUUUUAAUUUUUUUUUUUCUUAACCGUAAUUGUGUUAUAUAAAACAACGUUUUUAUAAAUAUAAAAAUUAAAAAAUUAAACACAUUUUAGCAAACAUUUUGGUUGCGACUUGAAGUGAUUUAUUUACAAACGUAUAUUAUUUUUUAACAAACUUCCCAACCUAUCAAAAAAAAAAAAAAAAAAAAAAAAUCUGCAAAAAACGUAUAUCAACAAUGGUUAUAUAAUAUAUGUAUAUAUAUAAAUAUAUAUAUCUUUUUUAACUACAGAAUUAUUUUUUUUUAACCUUACAUUAUGUACUUUAUAAACCCUACUUUUGUCGUUUUGUUCUUUCAAUUUUUUCAAAGGCAUUAUAAUAUCUACAUAAUAAAACUGUUUUUAUUUUUGCCCUUUUUACCGUU
rnacentral:lncRNA from 1 species